GGGCGCUUAGCUCAGCUGGUUUAGAGCGCCUGCCUUACAAGCAGGAGGUCACUGGUUCGAAUCCAGUAGUGCCCACCA
rnacentral:tRNA from 1 species